rnacentral:lncRNA from 1 species
AUUUAGUUUGGGUUUUCUAAGAAGAAAAUGAUAAACUACACUCUUUCCUCCUUGCCCCCUCUCCUGACAGGUAGCUAUGAAAGAUCUGGGUCAAAUUAUAACUACGAAUUUCUCCUUCUGUGGUAGCAGACAUCACAUCUCACCAGGCAGAAGCUUGGGCAAGCUGAAGAGUGCCCAUUGCAGAGAUGCAGGAUAGAGGGCUGCAAGGAGAAGAGCUGCAAACUAGAUAACUAGGCUUACUGGGUAGCAGCCCAUUUGGGACUGAGGUUGAUGAAGAGAAAUACUGAGCACCAAAACACACCUUUUUUUGCCUUAGAAGAUGGAAUUUAGCAGCUAUUUUAUACAGCGUGUUAGUUUAGAACAAAGAGUUAUUUCUUCCUUUACCAAAGUAUAUGAGGGAAUUUUAGGUAGGCAUAACAACAUUGCUUGAAGAGAUAUUUGCCAAUAAAACCAAAAUUAACAAGUUUGCUCUUGCA